rnacentral:rRNA from 1 species
UACGUAGGGUGCAAGCGUUGUUCGGAAUUAUUGGGCGUAAAGCGCGUGUAGGUUGUCUAUUAAGUCGGGUGUGAAAUCCCUAGGCUCAACCAAGGGAGUGCAUCCGAAACUAAUAGACUAGAAGAUGGUAGAGGAAGGUGGAAUUCCAAAAGUAGAGGUGAAAUUCGUAGAUAUUUGGAGGAAUACCGGUGGCGAAGGCGGCCUUCUGGACCAUUCUUGACACUGAGACGCGAAAGCGUGGGUAGCAAACAGG